CGCUUCUCAGGAUCGCUCCGGGAGGGUUUCCAGUACUCUACCAGUCUCGGCUAAGGGAGGCAGAGUCAAGCAGAGGCAUAUCCAUUCCAUUCCUAGCUUGGACAGUGGCUAGCGAGGAGUGGAAGGCAAUCUGCUACAAGU